rnacentral:rRNA from 1 species
UACGGAGGGGGCUAGCGUUGUUCGGAAUUACUGGGCGUAAAGGGUGCGUAGGCGGCGCGGUAAGUCGGGUGUGAAAUCUCGGAGCUUAACUCCGAAACUGCAUUCGAUACUGCCGUGCUUGAGGACUGGAGAGGAGACUGGAAUUUACGGUGUAGCGGUGAAAUGCGUAGAUAUCGGGAGGAACACCUGUGGCGAAAGCGGCGCACUGGACCACAACUGACGCUGAGGCGCGAAAGCUAGGGGAGCAAACAGG